AUUCAGGUCAGAGAAGCAGAGUGCAGCUACUGAAGAACCAUGAAGACUGUGAUCUUCUUACUCUUACUGAGCACCGUCGCACAGACUUCAAGUCUGACACAGGAUGUGGCUGAAGACCCAAAGAGCCAAGGUAUAAACCUACACCACAGGAUCAUCGGACCCUCAGGAGUAGUGAGGCCGCGAAAUGCGGCUGAAGACCCAAAGAGCCACGAUAUAAACAUACCCCACUUUUUCAUCGCACACUCAAUAUCAAAGAAGCGACAAAAAUUGCCCAACUGGGUUAAAAACAAGUGAGUGUGCUACAAUCACAGCUGUGUUGUCAUGACAACAAAGAAGAGCAGCGCUGGAGGACAACACUGUGAACAUCGGUCUCAGUGUGACACAACUCAUGAAGAACCUCCAUCAUCAUCAUAUCAUCCAAUGUCAAGUUAACAAUAAUAAAUAUGCAAUGGUCUGUUAGCCUUUCAAAAUAAAACUUGCUGAGAAACAUUUCUCAUAUUAUCAAA